UUGGCAUGAUGAGGAAAACCUAUGAUUUCUGACAUUUGAUGAUCAAAUCCUCCUACUCAUUCUGA